rnacentral:rRNA from 1 species
CAUCCAGACUCCUACGGGAGGCAGCAGUGGGGAAUAUUGCACAGUGGGGGAAACCCUGAUGCAGCGACGCCGCGUGAGUGAAGAAGUAUUUCGGUAUGUAAAGCUCUAUCAGCAGGAAAGAAAAUGACGGUACCUGACUAAGAAGCCCCGGCUAACUACGUGCCAGCAGCCGCGGUAAUACGUAGGGGGCAAGCGUUAUCCGGAUUUACUGGGUGUAAAGGGAGCGUAGACGGUGAAGCAAGUCUGAAGUGAAAGGCGGGGGCUCAACCCCCGGACUGCUUUGGAAACUGUUUGACUGGAGUGCAGGAGAGGUAAGUGGAAUUCCUAGUGUAGCGGUGAAAUGCGUAGAUAUUAGGAGGAACACCAGUGGCGAAGGCGGCUUACUGGACUGUAACUGACGUUGAGGCUCGAAAGCGUGGGGAGCAAACAGGAUUAGAUACCCCCGUAU